UAGGGUUUUAGCGUUGCGUCGCCACUCUCGGCGUCAUUCGAUGGCUCGGACAACAGAAGUCUCAUCGCCAAUCUGCCCAGCUCGCUUUCAGGUUCGUCAUUGUGCUAGCAUCGAUCAAAAAGUUAUGUGCUUUCCCUGUUACUUCGGAACCCAUCUGCAGUUCUAGGUUCUACUUCUCGGAAGAGUUGAAACUUUGAUGGUUUGAAGCUCUGGUUAGGAGCGCAAUAACGAGUUGGGUUCAGAGCAACACAAUCGAGCAAUACAGUUGUAAGGUACAAAGUCAGCCUUCUUUUUAAGGCAUUCUUCGCAUAGCAUCCCAACAGUAUCUGCUUGGAGUGGUUGCUGCCGCUGAAGCAUCUUUCGUCCUGCUGCUGUUAGCACCCUUGUCAAUUGGGCUUUCCAUAUAAGUUCUGGAGCUAGCGAAGAGAAUACUCCAAUCCAGUAUGGCUGUUGCGCCGUGCUCUCUUUUCCAGCUCUCGGAAGCCUACUGGGAGUAUGAAAACCUUAACAAUUGCAGUAAGGAGGAGUGUUCGCCAUUUGAGAAAUCUUUUUUCAAAGAUCAGUAAGAGCCGCAUUCUUCCGAGAACGUCUUAUUUGUCAGCUCAAUUCAAACCGGCAACCUCCUAUACCUGCAUGCAUCACCAAGAACAUCCACAAUUUGCACGAGUAUUAUGACACUUAAUAGUGUAUACUUUGAAUUUACUAGAUCAAAGUACUAGAUCAUCAAAUUUAUUCAAGUCUUGUCUCUAUGUGCUUGCCAUUAGUGGUGUUUUCUUGUACUGGUAGGUAUGCGGCUUUUUCUUUUCUAUUUUUAUAUUUCUAAAAGUAAAUAAGUGAAUAAAAACAAUCUUCAACGUUUA